UACGUAGGGCGCAAGCGUUGUCCGGAAUUAUUGGGCGUAAAGAGCUCGUAGGCGGCUUGUUGCGUCGACUGUGAAAACCCGCGGCUUAACUGCGGGCUUGCAGUUGAUACGGGCAGGCUAGAGUUCGGUAGGGGAGACUGGAAUUCCUGGUGUAGCGGUGAAAUGCGCAGAUAUCAGGAGGAACACCGGUGGCGAAGGCGGUUCUCUGGGCAUGUCCUGACGCUGAGGAGCGAAAGCGUGGGGAGCAAACAGG
rnacentral:rRNA from 1 species